rnacentral:rRNA from 1 species
GAUGAACGCUGGCGGCGUGCUUAACACAUGCAGGUCGAACGGAAAGGCCCAAGCUUGCUUGGGUACUCGAGUGGCGAACGGGUGAGUAACACGUGGGUGAUCUGCCCUGCACUUCGGGAUAAGCCUGGGAAACUGGGUCUAAUACCGGAUAGGACCACAUUUUGGAUGGUGUGGUGGAAAGUUUUUCGGUGUGGGAUGAGCUCGCGGCCUAUCAGCUUGUUGGUGGGGUAAUGGCCUACCAAGGCGUCGACGGGUAGCCGGCCUGAGAGGGUGUACGGCCACAUUGGGACUGAGAUACGGCCCAGACUCCUACGGGAGGCAGCAGUGGGGAAUAUUGCACAAUGGGCGCAAGCCUGAUGCAGCGACGCCGCGUGGGGGAUGACGGCCUUCGGGUUGUAAACUCCUUUCGCUAGGGACGAAGCGUUAUGUGACGGUACCUGGAGAAGAAGCACCGGCUAACUACGUG